UACGCCCAGAAUGCCGAUGUUCGGCUUG
rnacentral:sRNA from 1 species